rnacentral:rRNA from 1 species
UACAGAGGUGCCAAGCGUUAGGCGGAAUCACUGGGCUUAAAGCGCGUGUAGGUGGGUCGUUAAGUGUCCGCGUGAAAUCCCACGGCUCAACCGUGGAACUGCCGGGCAUACUGGCGAUCUUGAGGCAUUCAGGGGCGAGCGGAACAAAUGGUGGAGCGGUGAAAUGCGUAGAUAUCAUUUGGAACGCCAAUGGUGAAAACAGCUCGCUGGGAAUGAUCUGACACGGAGACGCGAAAGCCAGGGGAGCGAACGGG